CCUGCAGGGAAGGGACUCCACAUUUAAAUUACCCACUCAGGUAUCCUGUUAGGAUGAAAACUAGCAGACUGUUGGUCAUGGUAAAAGUCUUCUCCGCCUCCUGCUGAUGGAGACCCCUUGCUUAGCAAGCUAGCCACCAGUAGCACAAAAAUGGCAGGAGAGGAUGCGUGAUGAGCGGCAUCUUCCUACGUCACUGUUUCAGCACCGCGGACAGCAUGACGCCUGGACAGUUGUAUUGGCAACCCUGCAGCUCCAUUACCAUCCACAGAGGGGCAGUGCAGCAGUUUGCAGCCACUAUGGACCAGGGAGAGAAAAUGAAAUAAAAGUGGGGAUAAAUCAGGAAAACCGGCACACAUGAAGAAGAGUCAGACCCGUUUAUGCUGUGAUUUUCUGGACACGACCGUCCCUGACACCGGAUAGAUGAGGCUAAUCUCAGCCGCAGGCAGACUGUCAGAAAGCUUUGCUGAAGCUCUGGGUGUAAAAUGGCGCUCGGCUGCCCUGCGCUGUUUUUCUUCCUCUACCUCUCC